rnacentral:lncRNA from 1 species
CCCCCCCCCCCCUCCUUCAAUACGACUUUCAUCUUCUUCAGUAAACCGAAGAGUAGCGGCUAAGUCCAAAAAAAUGAUCCCCGAUCAAUCUUCUUCUUGAGGGAACUAACAAAAAUCCCUAAGCAACUAAAAGGGCAGCCGCUUCCUCUGCUACACAGCAAGUAACAGAACACACUCACACACACCUCCAAGGAUUCAACACCCUUCUUCUUCAUACACCAAAAACACAAAAAAUAGACCCUUCAACCGAACCAGCCGCAUCAAGUAGACGCUGCUUCGUCGGAAUGCCAAUACACCUCUCAGCCGCACCCCUGAACUGCUUGAUUUCAUUUUCGAAGUUGAGUACUCCUAUUUAAAUAGACAGGGUUAAGACGAAGUGGACUCGAGCUCGCCGUCGUUUGGAGGUCUUGGUCGUACCGUACGUGUUCUGAUUCACGGUCUCGUUUGAAAAUUCGAUUGUUGUUGGUGUUUAAACUUAAGAGGUGUUUAUUCUGCAAUUCAAUUGUUAAAGCUGUUUCGGUGACGCUUGAGGUCCGUUACCCCUGUUCAAUUGUUUAUCUUUUCAAUUAGGUCUGUUUGAAUUGGAUUCUGAUUUAAUUUUUAGUCGUUAUAAACUGGAUCUGCGUUUCUGCAUUAAAUGAUAACUUUUGUUGUCAUUGUUGUUCUGAUUCUGAAGUGAAGUAUCGAUUCUUGUCAAUACUUUGCAUUGAUGAAUUAAUUUAGUUCUCUAGUGGAUUGUUGUGCUUUAUUCUAGAGACUAGGAGUUGAAUUAGCAACAUUUGAUGGAAUAUGUGCAUUAUUGUCUAUCAAGGAACAAAGCUGUACAAGUGAAUCUGCUUCUCAUACGGCAAGUUCAGAUUGUUUUUCUAUCUUUUUGUAAUUGUUAUACGUUAUCAUGCCUAUUUCAUGCUAUAAUAAAUUUUCUAUACAUACAUGUAUUAGGAGGAUUCGUGGUUCUAAUAAAUCGGUUUUGCAAUCGAGCCAGUUAAAAGUUCUGCAAUGUAAAGUUCUGCAACGUGUUGUAUUUCUUGGCAGGUGCUGAAAGUAAAAGUACAGCUUUAAAUAUCUUUGAUUCGUUUAGUUUUUAUAUCAGAGGCGUGCUAUAUUAGGCAAUACAUAUUUUAUGGCCCUCCAAAUUUAGUCCAAUUUUCCUAUAAAAAUUGGAAUUGAGAUGUGCCAUAACAAAUAAAAUUUCAAACUCAUGGCCCUUGUAUAAUUAAUCUUGUUUAUCCUUAGAAAUCGAGGCAUGUCAUUUAGCGAAUUUUCAUGGCUCUCGCAAAGUUACAAAUGCGUAGCUGCUUUAGGCGCGUUAUUUUAAUAAUUUACCCUCUUAAACUCGGGUGCGCAUUUAUGUGACCAAAAUCCAAAUAUCAAUAAUUUUAGAUAAAAUAUAUUGAGAAUUGUGGGCGUAUUUAUGUGACGUGGUUCAAGACGUAUUUUAAAUGACAUUGAAAUUUUUUAUUAAAAAUAAUGAAAAGUAGUUAUAAAGUUUAAAAUUGCACAAUAGGCUAAAACAUGUAUUAAAAUCAGAUAAUAGGCCAAUAUAACAGUUGAGCGACCGUGCUAGAACCAUGAAAUUCCGGAGAGCCUAACACCUUUUCCCAGGUUAACAGAAUUUCUUACCCGGAUUUCUGGCUCGCGGACUGUAAAAUAGAGUCAAUCUUUUCCUCGAUUCGGGAUUUGAAUUGGUGACUUGGGACAGUAUAAAUAUCCCAAGUGGUGACUAUGAAUCUAAUUAAUUAUCUCGUUUCGAUUGUCACUUAAAUUGGAAAAAACUCUCUUAUACCCUUCUGGGGUGUACGAAAAAGGAGGCGUGACAGCUCUGGCAACUCUGCUGGGGAAAAGAACCCAAAAUCUCUAGUUCAGGGUUCAGAAUUUGAGCUUAGAUGAAUUGUUAUAUUUGGCUUUAUCUAUUACAUGAUUUUAUUACAUGUGUUAAGCCUAAUGUGCUAAGUACUGCUUUUACCACUUUGAUAUUAUCUAAACUGUAUAUAAACUGCUACGGAGCCUUUUUCUUCCCAUCUUUGGGGAUGUGCACGCUGGUCAUGACUCCCUAUUCUGUUAAUGUCAUACAUUGAAAUAUGAAAGAGGCUCGGACAAGUUACGACGCCGGAUGGCCUUUUGGUUUUCGGUAUGUAGCCCCCUCCUCGGCUCGAGUUGUCCGCUCGGAUACACAAUUUUAGAAGAAAUACUCAGGUUUUAAACCUAGAAUAACUCAGCCUCAUGCCGGAUCCCUAGUAGGAACAGUUGUUUGCAUCAUGUGCAUUUGACUUUGGAGACUCAAUACAGGCUUUAGGUCUGUCUAGCAUAGAUGUACUCGAAAUAAAAAAAAACUAUCCUGAUGCAUCCUAAUAUGCUACAUAUUGCAUUUCUUCAAGAGUUAAAGGGUCAGUUGGCGGACAAAUGAUAGUUGAGGGAAAAUAAAAAAGAAAAAGAAAAUAAAAUAGGGUGAAAUGUGAAGAUAAAGCAAGUAGUGCCCAAUUAUGUUUUCUGUCACAUGUUGUUGAGCAAAAAACAUGAAAAAUGAAAAAAAAAAUUAUUUUGCACUUUUUCAUCAUUUUCGAAAAUAGAAAAAAAAAAUCCAAAAAGAUUUUGCAUGUUUUCAUCAUUUUUCAAUAAAAAGCAAAAAAAUAUAUUUUCUCUAAAUUAGUUAUUUUUUUAAUUCUUGGUCAUAUACAAUUUGCCCGAACUAUGCAAACCUGAUUCUCGUCUUUCGAGGUAUGAUACGUAGGAUACCCACAUAUGGUUUGCUCUUUCUAGUAAAUCUCAGGUUCUUGGAUUUGGGGGGUCUUAGCCAAAUUUUGCACUUCUAGGCACCUUUUGGCUAAAUAAGAUAUUUUACAAAAAUAAUCGCAACCAUGUCUUGCAUGUGUCUAAUAGGAAAUGUUAUUGUCUCACAUAGUAUUGGUUUAAGUUUUCUCAUACAGGUGUGGAUUUACCUACCGGAGUUUGAGCAUGAUAGAUACCCCAGGAUCACUACAUGCAGCAGCUGCUGGAGGAGCCAU